rnacentral:lncRNA from 1 species
UCAAAUUUUAUUAGCAGCAUCUAAUUACUAAGUGUAAGUUUAUACCAACCCAAUUAGGCAUAUAACAUUAACAUUAACCCAAAGGUAAAGGUAACAUGGUUUAUUCUCAUCUUUAAGUUCAUUUUUUUUUCAUGUGAGGGUCCAAGCCGCUCUUAACCGUGAGCACGGCUGAUAUAUCAGUUUUCACUCUGCAGAGGUUGUACACUUUACCCACAACUCGUG